rnacentral:rRNA from 1 species
GAUGAACGCUGGCGGCGUGCCUAACACAUGCAAGUCGAACGAAGCAAUUUAACGGAAGUUUUCGGAUGGAAGUUGAAUUGACUGAGUGGCGGACGGGUGAGUAACGCGUGGGUAACCUGCCUUGUACUGGGGGACAACAGUUAGAAAUGACUGCUAAUACCGCAUAAGCGCACAGGGCCGCAUGGUCCGGUGUGAAAAACUCCGGUGGUGUAAGAUGGACCCGCGUCUGAUUAGGUAGUUGGUGGGGUAACGGCCCACCAAGCCGACGAUCAGUAGCCGACCUGAGAGGGUGACCGGCCACAUUGGGACUGAGACACGGCCCAAACUCCUACGGGAGGCAGCAGUGGGGAAUAUUGGACAAUGGGCGAAAGCCUGAUCCAGCGACGCCGCGUGAGUGAAGAAGUAUUUCGGUAUGUAAAGCUCUAUCAGCAGGGAAGAAAAUGACGGUACCUGACUAAGAAGCCCCGGCUAACUACGUGCCAGCAGCCGCGGUAAUACGUAGGGGGCAAGCGUUAUCCGGAUUUACUGGGUGUAAAGGGAGCGUAGACGGUUUAGCAAGUCUGAAGUGAAAGCCCGGGGCUCAACCCCGGUACUGCUUUGGAAACUGUUAGACUUGAGUGCAGGAGAGGUAAGUGGAAUUCCUAGUGUAGCGGUGAAAUGCGUAGAUAUUAGGAGGAACACCAGUGGCGAANGCGGCUUACUGGACUGUAACUGACGUUGAGGCUCGAAAGCGUGGGGAGCAAACAGGAUUAGAUACCCUGGNUAGUCCACGCCGUAAACGAUGAAUACUAGGUGUCGGGGGGGCAAAGCCCUUCNGUGCCGCCGCAAACGCAAUAAGUAUUCCACCUGGGGAGUACGUUCGCAAGAAUGAAACUCAAAGGNANUNGACGGGGACCCGCACAAGCGGUGGAGCAUGGCGGUUUAAAUUCGAAGCAACGCGAAGAACCUUACCCAAGUCUUGACAUCCCACUGAAAACACUUUAACCGGGUGUCCCUCUUCGGAGCAGUGGAAGAACAGUGGUGCAUGGGUUGUCCGUCAGCUCGUGUCGGUGAAAAUGUUGG